AUGACCUGGACCCCAGUCCUCCCUGGCCUCCUGGCUCACUGCACAGGGUCUGUGGCCUCCUAUGAGCUCACUCAGCCACCCUCGCUGUCAGUGGCUCUGGGACAGACAACAAGUUUCACCUGUGCGGGAAACAACAUUGGAAGGAAAAAUGCUUACUGGUAUCAGCAGAAGCUAGGCCAGUCCCCUGUGCUGGUCAUCUAUGAAGACAGUAAGAGGCCCCCAGGGAUCCCUGAGCAAUUCUCAGGCUCUAACUCAGAGAACAUGGCCACUCUGACCAUCAGCGGGGCCCAGGCUGGGGACGAGGCCAACUAUUACUGUCAGGUGUGGGACAGCGACCCUGCUCACAGUGACGCAGGCAGAUGGGGAAGACCCGAGUGUGAGCCCAGGGAGAGGCGCUGGAGCCGGCCGGAGAGACGAGGCCACGGUGUGGGCCAGCUGCUGGUGCAGGGGACUGAGCCUUAG